UCUCUCUCUCUCUCUCUCUAAAACUAACUAAUGGAUGAAGAAAUUCUUGGAUCCUAACUGCUUUAGUUCACCGAAAAUUUUCAAAUUGUCUCACUCUGUCUGAACUUUUCAUCCACCUACUUUAGUUUCCAAACACACACACACACAUACACAUUGAAUUGACAUCAUUGAUUCAAGAAAUAUUUAUGCCUAUAAGUAGUGAGAAUGCAAUAGCCAAGAGUAAUUCAAACACCAUCAAUUCAAUUACAAACCUCACUUCAAUUAUAAACCUUUUUAACAUAAAGAACCAUUUCUAGGCCUUGAGAAGUACAAAGAAAGAUGUUUGUUCGACUGGGAUAGAAGAUGGCUGGCUCUCUCACUUAAUUGGUUGAAAGAAAAGGCAAUCAUUUUCAUCAUUGAAGAGUGCCAAAGGGCAGGGGAGAGAAAGUAAGAAUGUAAGACAAUGAAAAACAAAUGAAAAUCAUUAGGCAUGCAUGUUUCAAGUAUAUGAGAUAAAGCAGAUGAGACAAAUUUUCUUUCAUUUGGGGGGUUUUUGUAGAGAAAAUUCUAUUCUCUGGUUUACAUGAUGUAAACAUGAAGUCAUCUAAUAAUAUGGGAUGUACAGAAAACAUUACAAAAGAACCAAAUUAAAAUCAAUAUGAAUGUACGUCAGCUAAAUAGAUAAAGUCACUUCUUUUCAAAUAUCAUAUGUUGGAGAUACAAAAAUUUCUUUCAUUUGGGGUUUUCGUAGAGAAAACUCUACUUUCUGGAUACAUGAAAAAUUAGUCAUUUGAUAUUAUGAAAUGUAGAAAAAAUAUUUUAGAGUUGAUUUUAGAUAUCUAUUCAUGCAAGUUUGCCCAGAUAUAACUUAAAUCAGAAAACUUUCCCUUGGUCUAAUGCCACAUGAAAAUCAUUAUUAGACAAAAGAUUUAUAUGUAUGCGGUUUUGUGUAUAUCCAUCUUGCAUAGCUACUCAACAUAUCAUGAUGAUUAGGGAAAAAAAAAGGAUACAUAUGUAAAAAAAAGAUGUAAAUAUCAGCUCAAAGCAGAAGGCAAACAUCAAAGAAAUGAUAAUAUUACAAUAACAAUUAAAAGAAGCUCUUACCCCACAAAGAAACCAGCAAAAUGU
rnacentral:misc_RNA from 1 species